rnacentral:rRNA from 1 species
AGAGUUUGAUCCUGGCUCAGAUUGAACGCUGGCGGCAUGCCUAACACAUGCAAGUCGAACGGUUUAGAUGGGGCUUGCUCCAUUUAGAUAGUGGCGGACGGGUGAGUAAUAUGUAGGAAUCUGCCCUUGAGGAGGGGGAUAACUUGGGGAAACUCAAGCUAAUACCGCGUAAGUCAGAGAUGAGAAAGCAGGGGACCGAAAGGCCUUGCGCCUUAAGAUGAGCCUACAUCGGAUUAGCUAGUUGGUGGGGUAAAGGCCUACCAAGGCGAUGAUCCGUAGCUGGUCCGAGAGGAUGACCAGCCACACUGGGACUGAGACACGGCCCAGACUCCUACGGGAGGCAGCAGUGGGGAAUAUUGGACAAUGGGCGAAAGCCUGAUCCAGCAAUGCCGCGUGUGUGAAGAAGGCCUUCGGGUUGUAAAGCACUUUCAGUAGUGAAGAAGGAUGUAUGGUUAAUACCUAUAUAUUUUGACGUUAGCUACAGAAGAAGCACCGGCUAACUCUGUGCCAGCAGCCGCGGUAAUACAGAGGGUGCAAGCGUUAAUCGGAAUUACUGGGCGUAAAGGGUGUGUAGGUGGUUGGAUAAGUUAGAUGUGAAAUCCCCGGGCUUAACCUGGGAACUGCGUUUAAAACUGUUUAACUAGAGUGCUGUAGAGGAUAGUGGAAUUUCCAGUGUAGCGGUGAAAUGCGUAGAUAUUGGAAGGAACACCAGUGGCGAAGGCGACUAUCUGGACAGACACUGACACUGAGACACGAAAGCAUGGGGAGCAAACAGGAUUAGAUACCCUGGUAGUCCAUGCCGUAAACGAUGAGAACUUGCUGUUGGGUGCAUAAAAGCAUUUAGUAGCGAAGCUAACGCGAUAAGUUCUCCGCCUGGGGAGUACGGCCGCAAGGCUAAAACUCAAAUGAAUUGACGG